rnacentral:rRNA from 1 species
UACGGGGGGGGCAAGCGUUGUUCGUAAUUACUGGGCGUAAAGGGCUCGUAGGCGGCCAACUAAGUCAGACGUGAAAUCCCUCGGCUUAACCGGGGAACUGCGUCUGAUACUGGAUGGCUUGAGUUCGGGAGAGGGAUGCGGAAUUCCAGGUGUAGCGGUGAAAUGCGUAGAUAUCUGGAGGAACACCGGUGGCGAAGGCGGCAUCCUGGACCGAUACUGACGCUGAGGAGCGAAAGCCAGGGGAGCAAACGGG